rnacentral:rRNA from 1 species
AGCGUUGUUCGGAAUUACUGGGCGUAAAGCGCACGUAGGCGGCUUUCCAAGUUGGGGGUGAAAUCCCUGGGCUUAACCCAGGAACUGCUCUCAAAACUGGAAGGCUAGAGUCCGAGAGAGGUGAGUGGAAUUUCCAGUGUAG